AUAAACGCUGGCGGCGUGCUUAACACAUGCAAGUCGAACGAGAACUACAUUGACAAGAAGCUUGCUUCAAGGAUAUAUAGUUCGAGUGGCGGACGGGUGAGUAACGCGUGAGUAACCUGCCGUAUACCGGGGGACAACAGAGGGAAACUUCUGCUAAUACCGCAUAAGCGCACAGUGCCACAUGGCACAGUGUGAAAAACUCCGGUGGUAUACGAUGGACUCGCGUCUGAUUAGCCAGUUGGUGAGGUAACGGCUCACCAAAGCAACGAUCAGUAGCCGGCCUGAGAGGGUGAACGGCCACAUUGGGACUGAGACACGGCCCAGACUCCUACGGGAGGCAGCAGUGGGGAAUAUUGCACAAUGGAGGAAACUCUGAUGCAGCGACGCCGCGUGAGUGAAGAAGUAUUUCGGUAUGUAAAGCUCUAUCAGCAGGGAAGAAAGAAAUGACGGUACCUGACUAAGAAGCCCCGGCUAACUACGUG
rnacentral:rRNA from 1 species